UGGUGGAGUGAUUUGUCUGGUUAAUUCCGUUAACGAACGAGACCUCGACCUGCUAAAUAGUAUGGCGAAUCCUAGAUUCGUACAUGCUUCUUAGAGGGACUAUCGGUGUGUAGCCGAUGGAAGUUCGAGGCAAUAACA
rnacentral:rRNA from 1 species